ACUCCUACGGGAGGCAGCAGUGGGGAAUUUUGGACAAUGGGGGAAACCCUGAUCCAGCCAUCCCGCGUGUGCGAUGAAGGCCUUCGGGUUGUAAAGCACUUUUGGCAGGAAAGAAACGUCGUGGGUUAAUACCCCGCGAAACUGACGGUACCUGCAG
rnacentral:rRNA from 1 species